rnacentral:lncRNA from 1 species
UGAAAUAUUCUUUUGAAAAACGUCUGUCCCUAAUUCAGUUUGCCCGAUCAUUGUAAUUUAGUGUAGUUUCCUUCUGAGAAACUGAAUUAUUUGGGAGGCCACACAAGAUUGCAAAGGGUGGUGAGAAGGCAUAUGGAGAGAAAGACAGAAGCACAGUGAAGGUACCCGGUUACUUAUAUUUGCUUUGGGGUUGGCCUGUUCCUCAGGGAUGCACAGACUUCUUUUGAGGCUGAAGAAUAAACAACAAAAGUC